UGGGGAAUAUUGCACAAUGGGCGAAAGCCUGAUGCAGCGACGCCGCGUGAGGGAUGACGGCCUUCGGGUUGUAAACCUCUUUCAGCAGGGACGAAGCGCAAGUGACGGUACCUGCAGAAGAAGCACCGGCUAACUACGUG
rnacentral:rRNA from 1 species